GUGGGGAAUCUUGCGCAAUGGCCGAAAGGCUGACGCAGCGACGCCGCGUGCGGGAGGACGCCCUUCGGGGUGUAAACCGCUGUCAGGGGGGACGAAGGCGCUGGGGAGGCAAUGCCCCGGUUGCUUGACGGUACCUCCAGAGGAAGCACCGGCUAACUCCGUGCCAGCAGCCGCGGUAAUACGGAGGGUGCGAGCGUUGUCCGGAAUCAUUGGGCGUAAAGCGCACGUAGGCGGUCCGUUAAGUCUCUUGGUGAAAGGCUGGGGCUCAACCCCAUGCAUGCCGGGGAUACUGGGGGACUGGAGACAGGCAGAGGCCAGCGGAAUUCCGGGUGUAGCGGUGGAAUGCGUAGAGAUCCGGAAGAACACCGGAGGCGAAGGCGGCUGGCUGGGCCUGAUCUGACGCUGAGGUGCGAAAGCGUGGGGAGCGAAC
rnacentral:rRNA from 1 species